GAGUUUGAUCCUGGCUCAGGACGAACGCUGGCGGCGUGCUUAACACAUGCAAGUCGAACGGUGACGACGGAGCUUGCUCUGUCUGAUCAGUGGCGAACGGGUGAGUAACACGUGAGUAACCUGCCCCCGACUCUGGAAUAACCGUGGGAAACGACGGCUAAUACCGGAUAUGAGACGCACAGGCAUCUGUGUGUCUGGAAAGAUUUAUCGGUCAGGGAUGGACUCGCGGCCUAUCAGCUUGUUGGUGGGGUAAUGGCCCACCAAGGCGACGACGGGUAGCCGGCCUGAGAGGGCGACCGGCCACACUGGGACUGAGAUACGGCCCAGACUCCUACGGGAGGCAGCAGUGGGGAAUAUUGCACGAAUGGGCGCAAGCCUGAUGCAGCGACGCCGCGUGAGGGAUGAAGGCC
rnacentral:rRNA from 1 species